ACGGGAGGCAGCAGUGAGGAAUAUUGGUCAAUGGAGGCAACUCUGAACCAGCCAUCUCGCGUGAAGGAAUACGGCCCUACGGGUCUUAAACUUCUUUUAUAGGGGGAUAAACUGGGAUACGCGUAUCCCAUUGCAGGUACCCUAUGAAUAAGCAUCGGCUAGCUCCGUGCCAGCAGCCGCGGUAAUACGGAGGAUGCGAGCGUUAUCCGGAUUUAUUGGGUUUAAAGGGUGCGCAGGCGGCACGUUAAGUCAGCGGUGAAAUGUCGGGGCUCAGCCCGGGCACUGCCGUUGAAACUGGCGAGCUCGAGUACGGAUGAAGUUGGCGGAAUGUGAUGUGUAGCGGUGAAAUGCUUAGAUAUGUCACAGAACACCGAUUGCGAAGGCAGCUGACUAAUCCGCAACUGACGUUCAGGCACGAAAGCGUGGGGAUCAAACAGGAUUAGAUACCCUGGUA
rnacentral:rRNA from 1 species